CCUACGGGUGGCAGCAGUGAGGAAUAUUGGUCAAUGGGCGCGAGCCUGAACCAGCCAAGUAGCGUGAAGGAUGACUGCCCUACGGGUUGUAAACUUCUUUUAUAAAGGAAUAAAGUGAGGCACGCGUGCCUGUUUGUAUGUACUUUAUGAAUAAGGAUCGGCUAACUCCGUGCCAGCAGCCGCGGUAAUACGGAGGAUUCGAGCGUUAUCCGGAUUUAUUGGGUUUAAAGGGAGCGUAGACGGGUUGUUAAGUCAGUUGUGAAAGUUUGCGGCUCAACCGUGAAAUUGCAAUUGAUACUGGCAGUCUAGAGUACAGUUGAGGUAGGCGGAAUGCGUGGUGUAGCGGUGAAAUGCUUAGAUAUCACAAAGAACUCCGAUUGCGAAGGCAGCUUACUAAGCUGCCACUGACAUUGAUGCUCGAAAGUGUGGGUAGCAAACAGGAUUAGAUACCCUAGUAGUC
rnacentral:rRNA from 1 species